CCUACGGGAGGCAGCAGUGAGGAAUAUUGGUCAAUGGACGAGAGUCUGAACCAGCCAAGUAGCGUGAAGGAUGACGGCCCUAUGGGUUGUAAACUUCUUUUAUAUGGGAAUAAAAUGUUCCACGUGUGGGAUUUUGUAUGUACCAUAUGAAUAAGGAUCGGCUAACUCCGUGCCAGCAGCCGCGGUAAUACGGAGGAUCCGAGCGUUAUCCGGAUUUCUUGGGUUUAAAGGGAGCGUAGGUGGAUUGUUAAGUCAGUUGUGAAAGUUUGCGGCUCAACCGUAAAAUUGCAGUUGAAACUGGCAGUCUUGAGUACAGUAGAGGUGGGCGGAAUUCGUGGUGUAGCGGUGAAAUGCUUAGAUAUCACGAAGAACUCCGAUUGCGAAGGCAGCUCACUGGACUGCAACUGACACUGAGGCUCGAAAGUGUGGGUAUCAAACAGGAUUAGAUACCCCAGUAGUC
rnacentral:rRNA from 1 species